UUUUGCAAAAUUUCUCAAAAAAAUGGCAAGGGGUACCCCUUAUGAAAUUUUUGAGUUGAAAUUUUUUUUUUAAUUUUUUUCCGAUUUUUUAUUCUUUUUUGUGUUUAAAGUAUUAUUUGAGUGAAAAGAAACUUAUUGCAACUAAUUCGCAUUUAAAUAUAUCUAUUUUUUUAAAUUUUGGUUAUUGCUCAAAAAAUGGUAUGGAUUUUGGUUCCUCGAAUAUCUUCUGGCACAGACAUCUGAGGGCAAGGCCGUCCAAGAAGAAAAUGUAGCCAUUGAUGCCAUCUAUCGAUCACAUUUUAAAGAUUGGCGAUCCGUUGGAUCCCGACCGAGUUAUAGGCAAAAUUUGGUUUAAAAUAUAGGAAAAUUUUACAUUUUCUCAAACAGGGUAAGGAACUUGGUUCCUUGAAUAUCUUCUUGCACAGACAUCUGAGGGCAAGGCCGUCCAAGAUGAAAAUGUAGCCAUUGAUGCCAUCUAUCGACCACAUUUUAAAGAUUGGCAAUCCGUAGGAUCCCGACCGAGUUAUAGGCAAAACUUGGUGCAAAAAUGAGGAAAAUUUUACAUUUUCUCAAACAGGGUAUGGAACUUGGUUCCUCGCAUAACUUCUGGCACAGACAUCUGAGAGCAUGGCCGUCCAAGAAGAAAAUGUAGUCAUUGGUGCCAUCUAUCGACCACAGGUUAAAGAUUGGCGAUCCGUUAGAUACCGACCGAGUUAUAGGCAAAACUUGUUGCAAAAAUAAGCCUUAGUAAAAUUUUAUUUUUUUGAAUUUUUCGAUUUUUUGAUUAUUUUUCACUCUUUUUUCUAUUUAAGGUAUUACUUGAGUGAAAAGAAACACAUUGCAAUCGAUUGGCAUUAAAAUAAAUCAAUUUAAUUUUUUUUGCAAAAUUUCUCAAAAAAAUGGCAAGGGGUACCCCUUAUGAAAUUUUUGAGUUGAAAUUAUUUUUUUAAUUUUUUUCCGAUUUUUUAUUAUUUUUUGUGUUUAAAGUAUUAUUUGAGUGAAAAGAAACUUAUUGCAACCAAUUCGCAUUUAAAUAUAUCUAUUUUUUUAAAUUUUGGUUAUUGCUCAAAAAAUGGUAUGGAUUUUGGUUCCUCGAAUAUCUUCUGGCACAGACAUCUGAGGGCAAGGCCGUCCAAGAAGAAAAUGUAGCCAUUGAUGCCAUCUAUCGACCACAUUUUAAAGAUUGGCGAUCCGUUGGAUCCCGACCGAGUUAUAGGCAAAAUUUGGUUUAAAAUAUAGGAAAAUUUUACAUUUUCUCAAACAGGGUAAGGAACUUGGUUCCUUGAAUAUCUUCUUGCACAGACAUCUGAGGGCAAGGCCGUCCAAGAAGAAAAUGUAGCCAUUGAUGCCAUCUAUCGACCACAGGUUAAAGAUUGGCGAUCCGUUAGAUACCGACCGAGUUAUAGGCAAAACUUGUUGCAAAAAUGAGCCUUAGUAAAAUUUUAUUUUUUUGAAUUUUUCGAUUUUUUGAUUAUUUUUCACUCUUUUUUUUAUUUAAGACAUUACUUGAGUGAAAAGAAACACAUUGCAAUCGAUUUGCAUUAAAAUAAAUCAAUUUAAUUUUUUUUGCAAAAUUUCUCAAAAAAAUGGCAAGGGGUACCCCUUAUGAAAUUUUUGAGUUGAAAUUUUUUUUUAAAUUUUUUUCCGAUUUUUUAUUCUUUUUUGUGUUUAAAGUAUUAUUUGAGUGAAAAGAAACUUAUUGCAACUAAUUCGCAUUUAAAUAUAUCUAUUUUUUUAAAUUUUGGUUAUUGCUCAAAAAAUGGUAUGGAUUUUGGUUCCUCGAAUAUCUUCUGGCACAGACAUCUGAGGGCAAGGCCGUCCAAGAAGAAAAUGUAGCCAUUGAUGCCAUCUAUCGACCACAUUUUAAAGAUUGGCGAUCCGUUGGAUCCCGACCGAGUUAUAGGCAAAACUUGGUGCAAAAAUGAGGAAAAUUUUACAUUUUCUCAAACAGGGUAUGGAACUUGGUUCCUCGCAUAACUUCUGGCACAGACAUCUGAGAGCAUGGCCGUCCAAGAAGAAAAUGUAGUCAUUGGUGCCAUCUAUCGACCACAGGUUAAAGAUUGGCGAUCCGUUAGAUACCGACCGAGUUAUAGGCAAAACUUGUUGCAAAAAUGAGCCUUAGUAAAAUUUUAUUUUUUUGAAUUUUUCAAUUUUUUGAUUAUUUUUCACUCUUUUUUCUAUUUAAGGUAUUACUUGAGUGAAAAGAAACACAUUGCAAUCGAUUGGCAUUAAAAUAAAUCAAUUUAAUUUUUUUUGCAAAAUUUCUCAAAAAAAUGGCAAGGGGUACCCCUUAUGAAAUUUUUGAGUUGAAAUUUUUUUUUUAAUUUUUUUCCGAUUUUUUAUUCUUUUUUGUGUUUAAAGUAUUAUUUGAGUGAAAAGAAACUUAUUGCAACUAAUUCGCAUUUAAAUAUAUCUAUUUUUUUAAAUUUUGGUUAUUGCUCAAAAAAUGGUAUGGAUUUUGGUUCCUCGAAUAUCUUCUGGCACAGACAUCUGAGGGCAAGGCCGUCCAAGAAGAAAAUGUAGCCAUUGAUGCCAUCUAUCGACCACAUUUUAAAGAUUGGCGAUCCGUUGGAUCCCGACCGAGUUAUAGGCAAAACUUGGUGCAAAAAUGAGGAAAAUUUUACAUUUUCUCAAACAGGGUAUGGAACUUGGUUCCUCGCAUAACUUCUGGCACAGACAUCUGAGAGCAUGGCCGUCCAAGAAGAAAAUGUAGUCAUUGGUGCCAUCUAUCGACCACAGGUUAAAGAUUGGCGAUCCGUUAGAUACCGACCGAGUUAUAGGCAAAA